rnacentral:rRNA from 1 species
AUAAGUAACGAUAAAGCGGGUGAAAAGCCCGCUCGCCGGAAGACCAAGGGUUCCUGUCCAACGUUAAUCGGGGCAGGGUGAGUCGACCCCUAAGGCGAGGCCGAAAGGCGUAGUCGAUGGGAAACGGGUUAAUAUUCCCGUACUUGGUGUUACUGCGAAGGGGGGACGGAGAAGGCUAUGUUGGCCGGGCGACGGUUGUCCCGGUUUAAGCGUGUAGGUGUGUGUUCCAGGUAAAUCCGGUUCACUUUAACACUGAGGCGUGACGACGAGGCACUACGGUGCUGAAGCAACAAAUGCCCUGCUUCCAGGAAAAGCCUCUAAGCAUCAGGUAACAUCAAAUCGUACCCCAAACCGACACAGGUGGUCAGGUAGAGAAUACCAAGGCGCUUGAGAGAACUCGGGUGAAGGAACUAGGCAAAAUGGUGCCGUAACUUCGGGAGAAGGCACGCUGACACGUAGGUGAAGUGAUUUACUCAUGGAGCUGAAGUCAGUCGAAGAUACCAGCUGGCUGCAACUGUUUAUUAAAAACACAGCACUGUGCAAACACGAAAGUGGACGUAUACGGUGUGACGCCUGCCCGGUGCCGGAAGGUUAAUUGAUGGGGUCAGCGCAAGCGAAGCUCCUGAUCGAAGCCCCGGUAAACGGCGGCCGUAACUAUAACGGUCCUAAGGUAGCGAAAUUCCUUGUCGGGUAAGUUCCGACCUGCACGAAUGGCGUAAUGAUGGCCAGGCUGUCUCCACCCGAGACUCAGUGAAAUUGAACUCGCUGUGAAGAUGCAGUGUACCCGCGGCAAGACGGAAAGACCCCGUGAACCUUUACUAUAGCUUGACACUGAACAUUGAGCCUUGAUGUGUAGGAUAGGUGGGAGGCUUUGAAGUGUGGACGCCAGUCUGCAUGGAGCCGACCUUGAAAUACCACCCUUUAAUGUUUGAUGUUCUAACGUGGACCCGUUACCCGGGUUGCGGACAGUGUCUGGUGGGUAGUUUGACUGGGGCGGUCUCCUCCUAAAGAGUAACGGAGGAGCACGAAGGUUGGCUAAUCCUGGUCGGACAUCAGGAGGUUAGUGCAAUGGCAUAAGCCAGCUUGACUGCGAGCGUGACGGCGCGAGCAGGUGCGAAAGCAGGUCAUAGUGAUCCGGUGGUUCUGAAUGGAAGGGCCAUCGCUCAACGGAUAAAAGGUACUCCGGGGAUAACAGGCUGAUACCGCCCAAGAGUUCAUAUCGACGGCGGUGUUUGGCACCUCGAUGUCGGCUCAUCACAUCCUGGGGCUGAAGUAGGUCCCAAGGGUAUGGCUGUUCGCCAUUUAAAGUGGUACGCGAGCUGGGUUUAGAACGUCGUGAGACAGUUCGGUCCCUAUCUGCCGUGGGCGCUGGAGAACUGAGGGGGGCUGCUCCUAGUACGAGAGGACCGGAGUGGACGCAUCACUGGUGUUCGGGUUGUCAUGCCAAUGGCACUGCCCGGUAGCUAAAUGCGGAAGAGAUAAGUGCUGAAAGCAUCUAAGCACGAAACUUGCCCCGA